rnacentral:tRNA from 1 species
GGGUCGAUGCCCGAGUGGUUAAAGGGGGCGGAUUGUAAAUCCGCUGGUUUUUGCCUACGUUGGUUCAAAUCCAACUCGGCCCA